AUACUUAAUUGAUCAAAGAAGGAAGAAAAGAUUUCAAAGGACUUGUGAAACAGAGAAAGCUUAUUUUGAUUCUUGCAAGGAGAGGUGUUGAUGAGUCUCAUGAAUCUGAUCAUGUGUGUAUAUAUAGAGAAAUGGUAUGUUGAAAAUCAUCAGCUACAUGAAAUUAGUGGUGAAGAGGCAUUGAGAUGGGCUCCAGGUAGAAACACUAGCUUGUGAGAAACCACAUGGGUUUGUCUUCCAACUCAAAUCAUUAUAAAUGGUACCAACCUGCAUACUUGGAGAGACAUUGUUCCCUACCUCCAUAGCAGACAAGAAGAGGGCUACCACAGCUUUCAAUCCAUCUACCAAACUAUGUUGAAUGAUAAGGCUGCAGGGUUAUGAUUUAGAGGCUGCCUUGUGAGAAAGCAUGUAAUCACGUGGGUUUGUCUUGCCAUUCUCGUAAAUCUUUAUCCUUCAACAGAUUUUGCAUAUAUAUGCUACCGAAGAGUCCAAUCUUGUAGAAACAUGUCUUCCCUCCCAACACCUUGUCCAUAACGCAGGAGAGAAGCUAGCAGUAGUGACAUUUCUGUAUCUAAGAAAUAAGAGCUUUAGACAUGCAGUUCUGCCCAACAUUGACUAUCAAUGCUGCUCAAGAACAAGAUUUUGUGGUGCUAAGAGAACUUUCCAUGGGGCUGAAGCACAAAACCAACCUAGCAUUACGUUUUUUGGCUCAUCUACAAUCUAUGAUCUCCAGCAUCAACAACAUGAGGCAGCAAUUGAUUCAUUUGAUGGUCAAGCAGGAUGAGAAAACCGGGCAGUGCUGGUCCAAAUGUCUUUUGAUUUCUCAUUUUUCUGCAUCUCUAUCUCUUCUCGCUCCAUUUGAUUCCAGCUUGUAGCUUGAAAUAUGUGUCAUUCAAGUGGAAAAUCAAUCAUCUCCUUUGAAUCAGCGAGUGCAGAGAUCACACUGCAUAUAUAGAUGUUUUUAGUGACAAAGGAUCGCCUUUAUUAAUUUUGGAUAUCUGGAUGUCAGAAUGUUACAAGGCACGUCAUGAUUUAGAACUACUGAAUGUAAGCCAUUACACUUUAUUUGUUGUGCAAGUAUGAUGCCAUUUAGUAAACUAUAUAUGGCAGUGUUGUAAUGGACAAUAAGAGAAGAAGUUCAUGAGAAUUGGACUAUAUAUAUUAUAUAUUUCCAGAA